AUUUCUUGAGAAAUAAUUAGUUCUUAGUUGCAUAUUUAAACCCAAACCUCUAGUAUCCUAAAAUCAUCUUGUAACAACGCCAAAUCAUUGUUGUUCGAAAAACGAAUUCCCUUCAAGAAAAUGGCAACAAGAGUCUUUGGGUGUUUGAUUUGUGUAUUUGUCCUUCUGGUGUUGUUUUCACCCGUUUGUGAUGCUUUUGGAUAUGGAGCGGGGAUGGCGGUGCCCGGAAAAAGAACUCUGCAGCAGAAAACCAUAAGGGAAGAGAUGGAUAAUUUUGCCAUGAAGAGAGAGCUGUGUGAUGCGGCCAAACGUCUUGGUUGUUGAAAUGGACACAUAUUAACAUACAGAAAAAGUUAUGAAUGAUGCCGAGAUAAAGAAACUUGUACUUCAGUAAAGUUUGAGUUUAAUAAAAAGUACAAGAAGA